UGCCAGUCCCUGCGCCACACCA
rnacentral:piRNA from 1 species